CAUAACCUAGAUCUGUAUCA
rnacentral:miRNA from 1 species